GAUGAAGAACGCAGCGAAAUGCGAUAAGUAGUGUGAAUUGCAGAAUUCAGUGAAUCAUCGAAUCUUUGAACGCACAUUGCGCCCCUUGGUAUUCCAUGGGGCAUGCCUGUUCGAGCGUCAUUUGUACCUUCAAGCUUUGCUUGGUGUUGGGUGUUUGUCCCGAGGGACUCGCCUUAAAGUAAUUGGCAGCCAGUGUUUGGUUUUGAAGCGCAGCACAAGUCGCGAUUCAAGGCUACACGCCCGCUUCCACAAGCCUUUUUUCACUUUUGACCUCGGAUCAGGUAGGGAUACCCGCUGAACUUAAGCAUAUCAAUAAGCGGAGG
rnacentral:misc_RNA from 1 species